UUUGUUUUGGGUGACAUAACCCUUGGAUUUGUUGAUUUAUUUGUGUGCUAGAGAACACAAAGACUUUCUUUAUUUUUGAGCAGAAAAAAUGUACGCUCCUGCAAUCCUUUCCCUGAAUGCCAAGUUUACUGGAAGUUCACAUGAUGCAUAUGUCAUUAGACAAUCAGGGAUAUGGCAGAGAUUAAGAUCAAGUCAACGAGCAGACAUGUGGUUAUUGGGAGACCGUGGAUAUCCUUGCACCCCCUGGCUCAUGACUCCUUACCGUAAUCCCAGGCCAGGACCACAGAUGGCAUUUAACUCCGCGCUUACUGCCACUAGGCAGCUGGUGGAGCGCACAAUUGGUGUCCUUAAAGGGCGGUUUCGUGUGCUCCACCGCACUGGUGGCGACAUCAUGUAUUCGCCGGAGAUGGCAAGUAAAAUAGUGGUCCUGUGCGCAAUACUACAUAAUAUCGCGGUAAGGAGUAGUGUAGAGCUUCCUCAGGCAGAGGAAUUGCCUGAUGAGGAGCCAGGGGUUGUUCGACACUUCGGUGGGGGGAGUGUUACACGGAGGGGGAGCCAAGUCAGGGCAAGGAUUGUUGCCGAAUAUUUCAGGUAUAGUGUUUUGAUAUUUUCUUUUUAAAAAUAUUUAAAAGCACAGUAUGCUUAUGUUUUUUUAUAAAUGUUGACAUUUUGUAUGAUAUUGUAAAGUGAUUGUGUAAUGCUUUUGUUGUGUUGGAAUGUGUAAUUUUUCUUAUCGUCAAAAUCCGCAAACACGUUAAGCUUACAAUGUUUGGUUAGAAAACAAAAUACUGUAAUGUUGCUAAAUAGUGUCCUUAUUUGUUUUAUAUCCUCAAAUCCUGAUUAUGUAAACAAACACACAAACAAAUGAUACUCAAUGUUGCCCACUUUGUGACUGUCCAGCUGAAUGAUCACACAAACUGUGGUGAGUACACAUAUAUGUAUAGUAAUUUAAAAUAAACUGUGUGUCUCUGU